rnacentral:rRNA from 1 species
CGGUGGGGGAGGCUUACCAUGCAGUCGAGCGGUAACAGAGAGUAGCUUGCUACUUUGCUGACGAGCGGCGGACGGGUGAGUAAUGCUUGGGAAUAUGCCUUAUGGUGGGGGACAACAGUUGGAAACGACUGCUAAUACCGCAUAACGUCUACGGACCAAAGGGGGGGAUCUUCGGACCUCUCGCCAUUUGAUUAGCCCAAGUGAGAUUAGCUAGUUGGUAAGGUAAAGGCUUACCAAGGCGACGAUCUCUAGCUGGUUUGAGAGGAUGAUCAGCCACACUGGGACUGAGACACGGCCCAGACUCCUACGGGAGGCAGCAGUGGGGAAUAUUGCACAAUGGGCGAAAGCCUGAUGCAGCCAUGCCGCGUGUGUGAAGAAGGCCUUCGGGUUGUAAAGCACUUUCAGUUGUGAGGAAAGGGGUGUAGUUAAUAGCUGCAUCCUGUGACGUUAGCAACAGAAGAAGCACCGGCUAACUUCGUGCCAGCAGCCGCGGUAAC